GAAGAGCACUGGUCAGGGAUUUUGUAAAAUGCCCCUCUAGCAGAAUUUUUCUGGUGUUUUUCUCAUGGCUGGACUGAGAUUAUAGAGUUUUUUGGAGGAAACUCACAUAAGUAAAGUGCUUUUCUCAUUACACCUUAGCAAAAGUUCAUGAUAUGAAGAUGCCUUCGCACUAUUGAACUGUUAACCUUGCUCCAGUGCCCAACAACACUCAUCCAAUAAGCAUAAUGAAUUUGGAGGGAUUUUCAUUGAAAACUGUAAAGUUUGUCCACACAGUUUUGAUUAUAUUCUACUACUCCGAUAGCCAACCUGACUCCAUCUUGAGCCUUACCACCAUUGUGUGCUUGUGGGGGACAAAGUAUUUGUGCUUGGACAAAGCACCUAAAAACCACAUCCUGUUUGGCAGAAAAAUUUGCUGCAGCUGCAAGAUGUUUUUCUGUAGCUCACCAAAAAUGUGAAACUUCCUCUUGCCCCCUACUAAUCUGGCACUAACCUGGCAUGGUUCUGCUUCUGUAAAAUUCCACUUGCUCUCCCCUUGAGCACUCCCCAAGUGAAAGCAUAGUUUAAAAGGAGAAACCAAACCACUCAUCAGUGUUGAGAGUUCUUUCCGGGCACUAGUCCCCUCCCUGUUGCUGGCUU